GUCCACGCCGUAAACUAUGAUUACUCGAUAUUGGCGAUAUACGGUCAGUGUCUAAGCGAAAGUGAUAAGUAAUCCACCUGGGGAGUAUGGUCGCAAGAUUGAAACUCAAAGGAAUUGACGGGGGCCCCGCACAAGCGGUGGAGCAUGUGGUUUAAUUCGAUGAUACGCGAGGAACCUUACCAGGACUUGAAUGCAUUUUGACAGAUUGAGAAAUCAGUCGUUCUUCGGACAAUUUGCAAGGUGCUGCAUGGCUGUCGU
rnacentral:rRNA from 1 species